CGGAGCUCCGCGCCUCGACCCCCAGAUCGCCCCUCGACUUUCGGUCCCUAGGUCGCUCGGUGUCCCGCACCCCACGACCUCGCGCGCUCCCAAGUCCCUGUGCCCGCUCUUCUAACCCCACAACCCCGUCGCAGUCCUCCGCCCUUUCUCGCUCUCCAUCUGUCAGUAGGUCUGUCUGUCUGCCUCCCCACCCUCCUUUUCCUUCCUCUCACCCGCUCUGCCGGCUUGUUCGCUAGCUCGACUUGGCAGAGCAACUUCGCAGGAAAAUCCCAGAAACCUUUGCAGAAAGCUUACAAUGAAAUUUAAGAAGUUCUACGAUUUCGGCGCCAUUUUCGAGUGGAGUGAGAGGUUGUUUAGCUUUUCCAGUAUGAAACUCGACAUUGGAAAAGUUUGGCUCGAAGGUGCGGAGGACGUGUACAUCGUGCGUUUUGGGUGUGGGGGCGCACACAUCUGCGACAUUGAAAGACAAAACGUUCUCAACUGGGAAGAGAGGAAGAGGCGUAUUCUUUGGCUCUUAAAUCAUUUGGCCAAACACAUCGCAGUUCUGAAGGGGGUGGGGCCAUGGCAACUCUAAAGUAUUGAUUCUUUGUCUAUUGUAUCAGCGAAUGACCCUCUCCAGAAGUGACCAGACGCUUCUUUGUGUUCUUCUUUAGGCGACCACCGAUGGUUUUUUUCCUCCAUUCCGUGUCCAUGAGAAAAUGAUUUGUAAUAUAGCCAAGACAAGCUGGGAUUUAGAAACUCGUUCCAACUUAAGGAGUGGGGCUAUUAUUAUUAAUGACUUUAUUUAUCAUGACCUUAUGGCUUUAUUAUCAGUGCAUUUGUUAGCGCUGGAUCACAAUCUGUUGUGUUAGGAAUUUUGUACUUAGUUUAAUUACAUACUCUGUAUAUUUAAUUAAUUAGUUAAUUAAUUAGUAGGACCCAGCAUUCAUUGUAGUAGUUUUGAAAAUCUGACAUAAUUUUAAAUGAAAAUAAGGAAAUUUGGCGACAUUAAAUCUUUGUUUAUGUAUACAGAAUGUACUUUUACUUUCAAAGGCACUAUAGUUUUAUUGUUUUAAUUAUUAGGUUUGUGGUUAAGUAGUGAAGGAUUUUUUUGGUUUGUGCUUUCUUGAAUGUUUUGUUUAAGCAAAAGGAAAUGAAUGAAUGUAAUUUAUUGCUCCGGUGUCCAUUUUGAAAAUCAAGAGGGGGGGGGCCUGAACAGUGCCGGCCAUUUCAAGAAAUGAGUUUCUGUGGAGUUGCUUGAGAAGGAGCCAUUUUAACAUCAAGUACUUAAAGUUGUUGAUUUGUGAUUUGAUAAGUGACAUUGAUAAAUGUCAAUUAUUUAUAAAGUAGUUUGAGUAACCAGCAAUGUAUGAAGACAUCUAGGGGUUUCAAUCUAGAACAUUCUCAUGCUUUGUCCUUAUAACUAAUGGCAGACAAGGUGUUUACUGUUAGAAUGGAGGAAACUACUAGCCAUAAGUUAAAAGCAACUGGUCACCCAGAGGGUUUUUUUAAAUCAAAAGUUCCUUACAUUGAUUCCAAUAAAUGACCCCAAACUGGGGACAAUAAAUGACACUUAUACAAUGCAGCAGGAAGUUUCACCGAGACUUUGGAGCUGGCAAGAGUGAUCCAGAUGUUACCAAAUUGUCUCAAUUUAAUUAAUCUCACUUUUCAUCUACUUUCUGAGGCUUUUCCCUCAAACCAGAGGAAGAGCCCCGGGGUGCAUUGAAGGCGCCCACCCAUCCAGAAGGAUCCAACCCGCGCCAUCCGGCUUCUUCCAGUGGGUGCCUGCAGGACUCAGUGACCACUACUACAUCAACAAUCUUGGGGAGAUGAACACAGAAGACUCCUUUCAAGAAAGCACCUUUGUUCCAGUUGGCAUGUUAACUUGCUUUUCCCACCAAAUGAGUCAGUCAUGAGAGGAGCAUCAAUUGACUUGAACAGAUGUGUGUCAAUGUUACUUGGAAAAACUAGAUGCCAAUCACCAGGGCCACAGAAAAAGGUAGUGGUUGUAACUCUAAAGCAUUUACUCGUACACACAGACAAGGACAAAAGUAGAAUCCUAAACAGGGAAACAUUUGGAUGUACUCCAGUGCUGGGAGACUAAAUAAUUGUAUGUUGCUUUUGAUUUCCAUUAACAUGGGCAACUAUCCAAUUAAACAAACACCCAAUAAGGACUCUGCAGUACACAUUAUUUUGCUGAGUAAACUAAAACACCAUAACCUGUCAAUCCAUCGAGGAGAGGAGAUGGGAAUAGCAAGGGACUGGGUUUGUUCCUUGAAUCCUGGGGAAAACAUGAUUCUACAAGACAGAAGUUAAUUGACAGGCAGCUUUCCUGAGAGACUGUGUAGGAUGAAAAAUACAAAUAAGAUUCAAAAAGUAUGUUUGAGGAAGAACAAUGCAUGCGUAUGAUAAGAGAUUGGAGGACUCGAACUAGGGGCUAUACCAAGUUGACAUUAAUUUCUAGAGAUCUGUUUUCCCAUUGGCCAGAAGCAUGUCUCAAGAUCCCAGAAGUUUAUAUGUUCAUCUUUAUUUAGAGUUUAUUGCAUAACUCUUAAACGAAACCCAGUACGUAUACACCAAUCAUGCCAAAUAUGUAUCUCCCUGGCCCAGUCAGUACAGCUUGCCUAUGACCAUCCAUUAGUAUCUGUUCACCAAGCUAGGACACCCUGGCUCUAUCCUAAUAUUUCACCCAUCUGCUUCCCUUCCUGGCUUUACAAUUGAUCUCAGGUUCAAAAGGGCUAGAGCCUUAAGCUGCGUCAUUAGGGAGGAGCCUCUAUAGACUUCCACUCCUGUGCUCCCUCAGUCUUGGAGCACUCCCCUUAAGCGCUUGAGCUCUGUCAUCUGAGCAACUGGUGGGAACUGAAGAGGGGGCUGGGAAUACUGCUUGCUUUGCAGCCUGAAUUUCCUGAGGCAGUGCCCUUGCUGGGCUUUUGCCACCCCUCCCCCACCUCCACUCUGCUGAGGGAAAGCCAGCUUUUUGUCCCCUAGAAACAAAAUCUUUGCAAGCCUCAUCUCAGCCCUUGCUGUUAUUUCCUUUGUUCACCUAUUUUCCCAACUGCUCUCGUAGAUUUGUUGUUUGCAAUAACUUUGUGAUAAAUAAGGCAGAAAAGGUUUCCAGAAACCCGAGGAUUCGGAGGUUGAAGGAUGUAUGGGAGACUUCCUGCUGUGCCUACACCUUAGUGACUACACCAGAAAAUGGAGCCAACUAGUAUGUUUGGUUAGAAAAGGUCUAGGGAAAACUGCCUAGUUCUAAAAUGAGUGAGAGCCUAACUGCUAAUAGAGCCCCAAGAUUGCCCUGAGAAUGAAGUAAUGACUAUAAGCUACCUACCCAUGCACAAUUCAGUGUGUGCAGCCUCAACAGUUUUCAAGCGAAUUCGCUUGAAAUCUUUUCUCCUUUCUAUGCAUUCAACUAAACUAAGGGAGUCAACCAUAGGGAAUUAAUUUAGCGGAGUCCUCAAUAGAACCUUUUUAGCCAUUACAAAUAAACAUUAUAAAAACUGCACAGAAACUUAGAAAAAUGCUUAAGAUAACAGGUUUUUAAAUAUCAAGGCCACAGAAUUACACAGGUUGUACUGGCUGAAAGUAGAAGCAGAAACUGGAGGGACAUUGCAAAACAAGAAGACUCAUUUACCACUAGAAUUACACCCAAAGUUUUGUUUUGGUUUUCUUUCUUUAGUUUUGUUGUUGUUUUGCUUUGUUGUGUUUUGGUUUUUGUUGUUGUUGUUGUUGAAUUGUGAAAUGUAACUCUCUGAAAAGUCUUUAAGGGUCCUGGGAAAUACAGAAACUUCAGGUUCUGCAUGCAAGGAUCUCAGGCGUCUCGGGGAUCAUCAUGUCACGAGAUACACUGUGCCCUUGUGACAGAUUGAUAACUGAAAGGUCUGGGAACCACUCAUCUUCCUAAGACCAGGUGGGGUGAGUAUUACAAGAGAUGACAAGUGGGCCUGAUCAAAGAGGAAAGGGGUUGCCAUGGAGUGGGAGAGGGUAGGAGUUGUAUUUGCAUACAACUUUAAUGAAAGUUUUAUUAAUUUGCAUUUCUAUUCAGUCCACUGAAGCCUAGACAGGGUAUAUGAUUUUACACACACACACACACACACACACACACACACACACACACACACACACACAUCAUGAUACACACAUGUAUAGCAUGAUAUAUAUGUUAAAAUAUUAAAACAAGUUUUUUUUGUUCAAACCAACAAGAAAAACACUAGCUGCACGCAUUAGAAACACAAGACCAACUGUAAUAUGUUGAGUCAUACAAGUGGCUAUAAAGAAAUAUACAAGCCACGGAACCAGAAAGUCAAAUUUUUAAAGAAUGCUCUCUUAUUAUGUUUAUUGCUAUUUAUUUAUUUACUUGCUUAUUUUUGAGACAAGGUCUUAAGUAGUCCAGAUUGGGGUGGAGCUAAAGCUCACAUUGAAUUCCUCAUUCUCCUGAUUCCACUUCCCAAGUUUUGGGAUUAUAGGUGACUAUAUAUUUUUAUUUUUGAGACAAGCUCUAACUAAUUUGCUCACAAACACUUUAAAGUUACUCUGUAGGCCAGGCAGAAUUUGAAUCUGUCGUUCAUUUGCCUCAGCGUCCUACAUCACUGUGAUUACAGGCCUUCCUUUCACUCAGGAAUUUUGAGGAUAAAAUUAGGACUAUCCUGAAUGAUUGACUAACAGUAAAGGGUUGCAAAAACAAAACAGGCUUUUCUAAGACAAUGGAAUAACAUGCUUUAAUUGAAAUUGAUAUUUCUGAAAAUAAUUUUGUGACACAAGGAUAUGUCACAAACACUGAUAAAAUGUUAAGUGAUAAACAUGCAAAAUAUUUUUCUUCUCUGUAUUCUCAUUUUUACAUGCAUAGGAUCAAUAAGGCUAAGAGGAAAGACAUCAAGAUAUUAUAGUUAUCUCUGAGCUGUGCUUUAAUGUUAUUGAGCAAAGAUGCUGGGGAUUGGGGGUGUGGUUGAAUGAUAGAGAAAGGAGAGAGGGAAACCAAGAUGCUGAACUGUUUUUGCGAUGUGUUCCUAAUAUGUAUUAUUAGUAUAUUGGGGACAUUUUGCAUUCAUGGUUCUGCAUCAAUCAUAUGGGCUGAAGACAGUUACCUCCAAGCUGUGGUACCACCAGUGACAAAAGAAAGAUGCUGAACUGUUUUUGCGAUGUGUUCCUAAUAUGUACUACAAUUAUAUUGGGAACAUUUUGCAUAAAUAGUUUUGUAUCGAUAUAUAAGCAAAAGUCUGGAAGAAAGAAGUGGCACAUCUAACCAUAAUUAAUUAUGGUUUUGCUUUUAUAGCAGGAAUAAGAUGCAGAAUUAUUUUUGCAGUAUGUUCCUGAAUACAUAAUAUAAGCGUAUUGGGAACAUUUUGCAUAUGUAAUUUUGUAUCAAUAUAUGGGGGAAGGAAACAUGACAAACUUUAGGAAGAAACAUGACAAAACUUCAACAGCACUUAUGUCUCUGCUAUUGCAGGUGAUGUUUGUUUUUCUCUAUAUUUUUAUUGUUUUUCCAAAUAUUAUAUAAACAGAGUGUUUUUCUUUUAUGGCCAUAAUAAAACUUAUUUUAUUUUAUCUUAGUAUACAAGAGUCUACAUUGUUUUCUUUGGGGGGAGUAGUUGAAACAGGGUCUCUCCCAUUGCAACCCUGGCUGCCCUGGAACUCACUACAUAGACCAGGCUGGACUCCAGAGAUCCGCCUGCCUCCACCUUUGAAAGUCC
rnacentral:lncRNA from 1 species